CCUACGGGAGGCUGCAGUGGGGAAUAUUGCACAAUGGGCGCAAGCCUGAUGCAGCCAUGCCGCGUGUGUGAAGAAGGCCUUCGGGUUGUAAAGCACUUUCAGCGGGGAGGAAGGCGGUGAGGUUAAUAACCUCAUCGAUUGACGUUACCCGCAGAAGAAGCACCGGCUAACUCCGUGCCAGCAGCCGCGGUAAUACGGAGGGUGCAAGCGUUAAUCGGAAUUACUGCGCGUAAAGCGCACGCAGGCGGUCUGUCAAGUCGGAUGUGAAAUCCCCGGGCUCAACCUGGGAACUGCAUUCGAAACUGGCAGGCUAGAGUCUUGUAGAGGGGGGUAGAAUUCCAGGUGUAGCGGUGAAAUGCGUAGAGAUCUGGAGGAAUACCGGUGGCGAAGGCGGCCCCCUGGACAAAGACUGACGCUCAGGUGCGAAAGCGUGGGGAGCAAACAGGAUUAGAUACCCCGGUAGUC
rnacentral:rRNA from 1 species